GACGAACGCUGGCGGCGUGCCUAAUACAUGCAAGUCGAGCGGACAGAAGGGAGCUUGCUCCCGGAAGUCAGCGGCGGACGGGUGAGUAACACGUGGGCAACCUGCCCUGCAGAUUGGGAUAACUCCGGGAAACCGGGGCUAAUACAGAAUAACAUUGGAAACCUCAUGGGUUCCUUUUAAAAUGCGGCUUCGGCUGUCACUGCAGGAUGGGCCUGCGGCGCAUUAGCUAGUUGGUGAGGUAACGGCUCACCAAGGCGACGAUGCGUAGCCGACCUGAGAGGGUGGUCGGCCACACUGGGACUGAGAAGCGGCCCAGACUCCUACGGGAGGCAGCAGUAGGGAAUGUUCAGCAAUGGGCGAAAGUCUGACGGAGCAACGCCGCGUGAGUGAAGAAGGUUUUCGGAUCGUAAAGCUCUGUUGUCAGGGAAGAACAAGUACGGUAGUAACUGCCCGUGCCUUGACGGUACCUGACCAGAAAGCCGCGGCUAACUACGUGCCAGCAGCCGCGGUAACAC
rnacentral:rRNA from 1 species